ensembl:lncRNA
ACUGACCCCUUACUUUCUCUCCCUGGGUUGUGAGUAUGUUGUGUGUGUAUGUGGAGGGGGAAUGUGUAUGAAAGGAAUCCUGGGCUUUCUGCACUUGGAUGUCAUCUGGUUGCAGAGGCAUCUUCUGAGCUGUCUAUCUUCCACCAGGUUCUUGAUCAGACACUGAUGCAGAUUUUCACGGGAACGGCUGGGGGAUUGCCUGAGGCUCCAUCUGCUUAGAUUUGCAGUUCUCAGCCCCCCUUGAACAGAAAGACCACCUGAGGAGCUUUAAAGCUACAAGUACCUGGGAAAGGGAUCUCACAGUGCAGUCCAGAAGCAGCAAUAUUCAGCCUUACCUGAUGACUGAUUAGAAACUGAAAUUCUAGGUACAUCCCACAUUUACUGAAUUAGGAACUUUUUGGAUAGUAUCCAAAUAGAUAGUUUUGGAUUUUUUUUUUUUUUUUGAGUAUGCUGGAGGUGAUUUUGGUACAUGUUAAAGUUUGAAAACCAUGCCCUGGAUAGGAAUUUGAGUGUUGGAACAGUUCCCAGCUGGUCUCUCUGUGUGUGUAUGCUCAGUUGCUAAGUCGUGGCUGACUCUUCUGAGACCCUACGGACUGUAGCCCGCCAGGCUCCUCUGCCCAUGGGAUUUCCCAGUAUUGUAUGGAAGUGACUCUUUUAUUAUUUAUCAUCCUCACCCAAGAGAAAACCAACCUCCCAGAAGUGAUAUGACUGAUUGUUGGACCACAAUAAAUGUAGGUAGUGUCACAAAGGAUUUGUCCAUUAGCUAGUCUGACAGAUGGAAAAGGCAAUGACAACCCACUCCAGUACUCUUGCCUGGAAAAUCCCACAGACGGAGGAUCCUGGUAGGCUGCAGUCCAUGGGGUCGCUAAGAGUCGAGCACGACUGAGUGACUUCACUUUCACUUUUCACUUUCAUGCAUUGGAGAAGGAAAUGGCAACCUACUCCAGUGUUCUUACGUGGAGAAUCCCAGGGACUGGGGAGCCUGGUGGGCUGCUGUCUAUGGGGUCGCACAGAGUCGGACAUGACUGAAGCGACUUAGCAGCAGCAGCAGCAGCAGUCUGACAGAUGUGAGAUGGUAUCUCAUUUUGGUUUUGAUUUGCUUUUUCCUGAUGAUUAGUGAAUUUGUACAUAUUUUCAUUUGUCUUUUGCCCAUUUGUAUGUCUUGUUUGGAAAAAUGUCUCUUUAGGUC